rnacentral:rRNA from 1 species
ACUACGAGCAUCAGCUUAAAACCCAAAGGACUUGGCGGUGCUUUAGAUCCCCCUAGAGGAGCCUGUCCUAGAACCGAUAAUCCCCGUUAAACCUCACCCCCCCUUGUUCCACCAGCCUAUAUACCGCCGUCGCCAGCUUACCCUGUGAAGGACCUAUAGUAAGCAUAAUUGGUACAACCCAGAACGUCAGGUCGAGGUGUAGCUUAUGGGAGGGAAAGAGAUGGGCUACAUUCCAUAACACAUGAAAUACGAACGAUGUAUUGAAAAACACAUCCGAAGGAGGAUUUAGUAGU